GGCGUUUUGGCCGAGCGGUCUAAGGCGCUAGCUUAAGGUUGCAAUAACCCGCUAGUCCGAAAGGGCGUGAGUUCGAAUCUCACAGACGUCACUA
rnacentral:tRNA from 1 species